rnacentral:rRNA from 1 species
AUUCCAGCUCCAAUAGCGUAUAUUAAAGUUGUUGCAGUUAAAAAGCUCGUAGUUGGAUCUCAGGGUGAGCUCAGUUGGUCGGCCUAAUUGGUCAGAACUGGCUGACUCUCCCUUGUUUCUGAAUCCCGGUCGGAGUUAAUUCUUCGUUCGUGGACUUCAGAUCGUUUACCUUGAAAAAAUUAGAGUGUUCAAAGCGGGCGUUUGCUUGAAUACAUUAGCAUGGAAUAAUGGAAUAGGACCCUGGUUCUAUUUUGUUGGUUUUGAGGACCAGAGUAAUGAUUAAUAGGGAUAGUUGGGGGCAUUCAUAUUUAAUUGUCAGAGGUGAAAUUCUUGGAUUUAUGAAAGAUGAACUUCUGCGAAAGCAUUUGCCAAGGAUGUUUUCAUCG